CCUCCCUUUUGCUCUCUCUCAUCUGUGGCUAAAACUGGAUAAAUACUCAGAGAGAACAUUUUAGCAUUAAUCUCAGAAAGCACCAGGACUGCUACUUUCUUUGCAAGACAAACGAAAGAUGUCAGACAAUGAAGAAGUGGAAAAGUAUGAGGUGCAAAUGGAAGAGGAGGUCCACAAAGACGAGCAGAAUGCAAUAGAUAAGGCGACAGAGGAUGUACAUGAGGAAAUUGCAGUGGAUAAAGAGACUCAAGAUGAGGAGGAGGUGUCUCUGGGGGAGGAAGAAGGUGGAGAGGAAUUAAACACUCAAAUGCAGGAAGAAAGAGAGGAGGCUGAAGAUGGAGGAGUAGAAAACAUCAAACCAAAAUUCAGGCCUUUUAUAAUGUCAAACUUGGUGCCUCCAAAGAUUCCAGAUGGGGAGAGGGUUGAUUUUGAUGAUAUUCACCGCAAGCGUAUGGAGAAAGAUUUAAAUGAGCUGCGAGCUCUGAUUGAGGCCCACUUUGAAAGUCGUAAGAAGGAGGAAGAGGAGCUUAUUAGUCUCAAAGACCGAAUUGAGAAACGACGUUCAGAGAGAGCUGAGCAGCAGAGGAUCCGCAGCGAGCGUGAGAAGGAACGACAAAAACGUCUGGAAGAGGAGAGAACUCGCAAAGAGGAAGAGGAGGCAAAGAAGAGGGCAGAAGAUGAUGCUAAGAAGAAGACUCUCACUAGUCUGCAUUUUGGUGGCUACAUGCAGAAAACUGAAAGACAAAGUGGGAAGAAACAGACAGGGAGGGAGAAAAAAAAGAAGAUUCUCAGUGACCGCCGCAAACCUCUAAACAUAGAGAAUGCCAGCGAGUCUGCUCUCAGAGAGAAAGUUAAGGAACUUUGGAAUUGGAUGCAUCAACUAGAAGCAGAAAAAUUUGAGUUACAGUACCAAUUUACUAAACAAAAGUAUGAGAUAAAAGUACUGAGGAACAGAGUCAGUGACCAUCAGAAAACGUCAAAGAGAACCAAAAGAGGCCUCAGAAAGUGAAUGCCCAGAGGAGUAUAUAACCAUAUAAUUACACAGCUAUUCAGCCAAGUCAUCACAGGCCACGUCUCUCUCUGCAAUAUCAGGACAACGAGCGAUUAGAUGGAUGGAGACAAUCAGAGGAAUCAUAAGCCAACCCUUAAGAAGCCCAGAGACCCAAACAGAAAGAUAUUCUACAGAAACACUAUCCAUAUGACCAGCAUAUCCACAUUCAAAACAUAGCAUAUGCUGGUGUUGCUGGUGAUCAGCCUAAUAACUUGCAGUGAGUCAAAAAAAGGUCAAAAAGAUUUUGAGCUUGUAAAACAAUAUUCACAAAUGUACUGAAAUUUGCAGUUGUGUAUGCAAAUAUGAAACCAAAAAAUAAUAAUAAUUCAGAUUCACAAAUGCAUGAAAAUAUUUUUAAUAUGUAGAAAGAAUUGUUGAAAGUGGAAAAAAGUUUGGCAUUUGUAAACAAAAUGUUGUGAAUUUGUG